UUAAGCUAAUAAGAGCGCAGGGUGGAUGCCUUGGCACUAAGAGCCGAAGAAAGACGUGAUAAGCUGCGAAAAGCUACGGUUAGGAGCAAAUAUCCAAUGAUCCGUAGAUAUCUGAAUGGGGAAACCUAACCGGAAAAACUCCGGUUACUGCAUGGUGAAUACAUAGCCAUGCAGAGGGAACCCGGUGAACUGAAACAUCUAAGUAGCCGGAGGAAAAGAAAGAAACAUCGAUUUCCAAAGUAGCGGCGAGCGAAAUGGAAAGAGCCUAAACCGGAUUGCGUGCAAUCCGGGGUUAUGGACCGCACCAAGUGACUUAGCGGGUAGAAGAAUGGUAUUGGGAAAGCCAGCUAGAGAGGGUGAAAGCCCCGUAUUCGAAACCUUAAGAGAGCGAGCGGAAUCCGAAGUACCACGAGACACGUGGAACCUUGUGGGAAGUCGGGGGGACCACCCCCCAAGGCUAAAUACUCCUUAGUGACCGAUAGCGCAUAGUACUGUGAAGGAAAGGUGAAAAGAACCCCGGGAGGGGAGUGAAAGAGAACCUGAAACCCUGUGUUUACAAGCUGUGGAACUGCUUUAUAUGCAGAACCGCGUACUUUUUGUAGAACGGUCCGGCGAGUUACGCUUACUGGCAAGGUUAAGUACCAAAGGUAUGGAGCCGAAGGGAAACCAAGUCUUAACAGGGCGCCAUAGUCAGUAGGAGUAGACCCGAAACCGGGUGACCUACCCAUGUCCAGGAUGAAGUUGCCGUAAAAGGCAAUGGAGGUCCGAACACACAUCCGUUGAAAAGGGUGGUGAUGAGGUGUGGGUAGCGGAGAAAUUCCAAUCGAACCCGGAGAUAGCUGGUUCUCCUCGAAAUAGCUUUAGGGCUAGCCUCAAUUUAGUCUUGCGGAGGUAGAGCACUGAAUAUCCUAGGGGGCGUCAAAGCUUACCGAAGAUUAUCAAACUCCGAAUGCCGUUAAGAUGAUGAUUGGGAGUCAGACUGCACGAGAUAAGUUGGGUAGUCAAAAGGGAAACAGCCCAGACCUCCAGCUAAGGUCCCAAAGUGAGUGUUAAGUGGAAAAGGAUGUGGGAUUUCGAAGACAACUAGGAUGUUGGCUUAGAAGCAGCCAUACAUUCAAAGAGUGCGUAAUAGCUCACUAGUCGAGAGGUCCUGCGCCGAAAAUGUCCGGGGCUAAACACUACACCGAAGCUGAGGAAUGAUUUAUCAUUGGUAGAGGAGCAUUGUUAGCGAGACGAAGCUGUACCGGAAGGAGCAGUGGAUUGCUAAGAAGAGAGAAUGCCGGAAUGAGUAGCGAGAGUGAGGUGAGAAUCCUCACGGCCGAAUAUCUAAGGUUUCCAGGGUAAAGCUGAUCUGCCCUGGGUUAGUCGGGGCCUAAGGCGAGGUCGAAAGACGUAGUCGAUGGAUAACAGGUUGAUAUUCCUGUACUACAAUAUAUCAGAACUGUGGGGACACAGACAGAAAGCCAGAGCCGGGAAUGGAAAGACCGGUACAAGCGAGGUAGGAGUAAGGCAGGCAAAUCCGCCUUACAAUCUGAAGACGUGAUGUGUAGCGAAGUUAUAAGUAGCGAAGCUGGUGAGCUGGCUGUCAGGAAAAGCCGCUAUUGUGUAUAUUGUACCCGUACCGUAAACCGACACAGGUGGAUGAGGAGAGAAUCCUAAGGCCGACGGAAGAAGCAUUGUUAAGGAACUCGGCAAAAUGGCCCCGUAACUUCGGGAUAAGGGGUGCCUACGAAGGUAGGCCGCAGAGAAUUGGCCCAAGCAACUGUUUAGCAAAAACACAGGUCUAUGCGAAACCGUAAGGUGAUGUAUAUGGGCUGACGCCUGCCCGGUGCUGGAAGGUUAAGAGGAGAGGUUAGCGAAUGCGAAGCUUUGAAUUUAAGCCCCAGUAAACGGCGGCCGUAACUAUAACGGUCCUAAGGUAGCGAAAUUCCUUGUCGG
rnacentral:rRNA from 1 species